rnacentral:misc_RNA from 1 species
CCUUCCUACAUCACUGAAGCAGCUCGUCAACGCUUCGCACUAGGUUUACUUGAACCAAGCCUACAGGCCUUAAGACUUGGUGGGAAUCCAUUGAGAAGGCUGAUCGUAUGUGGAUGUAUAAUAGACUUGUGCCAAGUCGGAAAGGGGUCAUUACUGAGUUCAUUAAUGGUGUGCGUGGAUUUAUAGAGUUUGCACUAACGCAACACAACUUUGUUUCUAAUGGGAGUAUAAAAGUGCCCAUGUUCAAGAUGUGAAAAUAGUGGGUUUCUCACAACAGAUAUUAUUACUGCGCAUUUAUACAAGUUUGGGUUCAUGCCUAACUAUUAUCAUUGGGUUUCACAUGGGGAGCCUUUUAUACCAAUUUUGAGGCCAGAAUCUGGUGUGCAUGAAGGCACUGAAAGAGUAGCUGAUAAUACACCAGUAAAUCCAUACCGCACUAUGGUAUUUGAAGCUGUUGGUCCUUAUUUCAACUUUGAUUGUGAUGGAUUUGAUAUGGAUGAUGAAGAAGAACCUCCAAAUCGAAAUGCUCAAGACUUUUUUGAGAUGUUAAGAGCUGCAGAAGAGCCAUUGUUGUAACACCCUUCACCCGACUACAAUGUAGCCGAGCAAGGCGUGCUACAUUCGGUGCUGGAGCACCCUAUCUUAUCUUG